UUGAUGCAAAUGAUGACUACAUAGUUCAGCAGAAAAUCCAUGUAGAACACCGAGCAAUGUCUUUCACUCCUAGCUGACACCAU